rnacentral:lncRNA from 1 species
UUGAUUUUGAAACAUCACUGAAGCAGGUAGUAAUUGAACUCCCAAAACAAAAAAUUAAGAUUACUUCCAAAUACAUAUAUAGAUAAUCAGUCAAAGUUGGCUUCAAUUUUCAUUUUAAUACUACAACUAAGGCCAGCACAUAUCAAACACUCCAACCUUAUCAGUCAUGUGACCUUCUAAGUUUGGAGCAUUUAAUAGUACUUGCCUUUAUUGAAGUGUCGAAAUGAAAAAAAAACCAACUUUGACUAUUAAGGAAAACAAUGAAAUGCUUGUUGUAGAUGACACUGUGAUUGCUAUAGGUUUUAAACUACAUAUUCUCCAUGUACUUUUUGAGAUAUGUUUGUUCAUUUGUAAAACAUUGUUGUCUUUUUUAUUUCAUAGUUUAUCAUAAAUUUGAUUCUUUUUAUCUUUUCGUGCCACAUAGAUAUCAAUGAAUAAUUUAGAUAGAAGUUGGAUGAGUCUCAAAUGAAGUGAAUGCAGUGAAGUUUCUUGAAACAUAUCAGAUCGUGUGGAUGUGGAAGAGAUGAAAAUAUCAUAGUACAAAAGCUAUAUGCAGUAAGUUUAUAAGGCGAGCAGUUCUCGAGGCAAUGCAGACUGAAAUCAAAGAAAUUGAAUGCGAGUUUGAAUUUUUUUUUCUUCCAAUUUUUUUUUAUAUAAUGGAACAAAUGCCGAUCCAUUUUGUAAAUGAAAUUAGAUUGGGUGGUCCAAAGCAUCUUCGUUGGAUGUAUUCUACUGAGAGAAAAUUGUGUAAAUUCAAGGGUCUUGUUUGUAAUCGAUGUUAUCCAGAAGCUUGUAUAGUAGAGGGGU